AUUGAACGCUGGCGGCAUGCUUUACACAUGCAAGUCGAACGGCAGCGGGGGCUUCGGCCCGCCGGCGAGUGGCGAACGGGAGAGUAAUGCAUCGGAACGUGCCCAAGUCGUGGGGGAUAACGUAUCGAAAGGUACCUUAAUACCGCAUACGUCCUGAGGGAGAAAACGGGGGACCUUCGGACCUCCCGCCAUCGGAGCGGCCGAUGUCGGAUUAGCUAGUAGGUGAGGUAAAGGCUCCCCUAGGCGACGAGCCGUAGCGGGUCUGAGAGGAUGAUCCGCCACACUGGGACUGAGACACGGCCCAGACUCCUACGGGAGGCAGCAGUGGGGAAUUUUGGACAAUGGGCGCAAGCCUGAUCCAGCCAUGCCGCGUGAGUGAAGAAGGCCUUCGGGUUGUAAAGCUCUUUCGGCCGGGAAGAAAUCGUGUUCUCUAACAUAGGACAUGGAUGACGGUACCGGACUAAGAAGCACCGGCUAACUACGUGCCAGCCGCCGCAGUAACAC
rnacentral:rRNA from 1 species